CUUGAAACCACCGUCUUCUCCAGACUGACGUCAUGGGUUCCGACUACAGACGUGAUUUCCUGAUGGCAACAAAAAUGCUGCGAACCCUCGCGUGCACAUUGACCUGCCAUGCGAAGAAAAAUACGAACCUGGCGAAGGUCCCUGUCCUGCCAUCACUGCAAUCUUCCAGGAGACUCUGAUAUCACAUAUCAGUGCCGCCCGGGAGGCAUCAGGAACCGGAACUAUACUCCAUCUCGCAAGUCGUUCGCAGCCACUGUGGAAGCUGCGGGACUCCUUAGCCACGGAGGAAGGCCGAACGCCCCUCGAUAUGGGUUCAUCCGCGCCGCGACGUCUGCUCCGUGGCUGCUGAAUUCACCGAAAGGGGGCGGUGGUGGCGGCGGCGGAGCCAUGAUGCACCUCAAGUC